rnacentral:rRNA from 1 species
UACGUAGGGUGCAAGCGUUGUCCGGAAUUAUUGGGCGUAAAGAGCUCGUAGGCGGUUUGUUGCGUCGGCUGUGAAAAUCCCGAGGCUCAACCUCGGGUCUGCAGUCGAUACGAGCAAACUAGAGUGUUGCAGGGGAGACUGGAAUUCCUGGUGUAGCGGUGAAAUGCGCAGAUAGUCAGGAGGAACACCGGUGGCGAAGGCGGGUCUCUGGGCAACAACUGACGCUGGAGGAGCGAAAGCCGUGGGGAGCGAACAGG